AGCAGGUAAGGGAAUCUUCCACAAUGGGCGCAAGCCUGAUGGAGCAACACCGCGUGAGUGAAGAAGGGUUUCGGCUCGUAAAGCUCUGUUGUUAAAGAAGAACACGUAUGAGAGUAACUGUUCAUACGUUGACGGUAUUUAACCAGAAAGUCACGGCUAACUACGUGCUAG
rnacentral:rRNA from 1 species